rnacentral:lncRNA from 1 species
GGCUCAGAGGCUGUGACCAGGAGUCCUAAUGAGAUUCACAGCCGUCAGCAGUGAGCCCAGAACAGCACAGGAUUGGAGAAGCCCCGGCCAGCAUCCUCCGUCUGCACAGUUGCUGUGGUGCCGACGUCCACCUCUUGGUGAUCAGAGCUCACGUUGUGUUGAGUUCCUGUGAGACGUGGACACUCUCUGCUUUCCCCACUGUGCUGUGAGAACUGAAACACGGAAGUCGGGAAGCCAGGAACGAGCGUGUUUUGAGCAGGUUGCCACCGGGCAGCGCUGCAGGUCAGCCCUGCCAACGCUCCAGGAGACAGCUUGGAAGGGACACAGAGUGAUCCCGGGCAGGGACCGGGGAGCUGGGCAACCACCCACCUGCCAGUGACACCCCCAUCUGAUUUGGCUUGGAGGGGGAGUCCCACGGCCUUGAACUUGGGUAUCUGGCCUCUUCCUGUGCACGAACCUAGUCUUGCCAUCAGGUGAGAAGUCCCAGGGUAUAGGGGUGCGAGUGUGCCCAGCAGGCAGCCUCGAGUGUGCAGAGGCCAGCGAUACAGGGGGGUGUGGGUCUCGAGCCUUGGAACCCCGCCUCCUGAGGACCUGGGGCGUGGGGAGCUUUCAUUCCAGCACCACGGCUGGGUCUGACGCGCAGAUCCGGAACACGGGAGCACGCUCCGAAGCGUGGUGAAAACGUUUCUCAAAACACGCAGGUUGAGGGCACUUAGAGCAAGACAGGCAGUGGGCGCCCCGUCCCAUUAGUGACUGUCCUGUCCGCUGCGCGCUCUGUGACGGGGUUACUGAUCCUCGAACACGUUCCACACCGGGCUGCUCUUUGAGGAGAUACUGCGAUGGUAAGUGCACAACGUUAUAGAAACACUCAGCAAGACGCGAACCCCUCCCCCACCCCUGGGAGCGCAUCCCAGGGGGCGCCUGGGCUAUGAGGUCAUCCUUGCCAGCGUGGAAGGCAGAUUAGCCCUGAGUCGUAGGAGGCUGAGCGCAAUGUUGGGGGGUAUUCAAUUAACGACAUCAAAUUGGAUGCAUGCUUUCAUAUUUAAGCUUCUGAAACUCUAAUGAAAUAAUAAAGGGUGAGAAAGGUCUAAGCA